GGGGGGGCUAUGGUUUUUUUUUCUGGACAAAUUGUUUUUUUCGCCUGCGGCGAAAAACAAUCUAUUUUUUUCGUGACAAGUCGAAAACAAUUUUGUUCUUUCAAUUUUAGCAUUACAUAUAGUGGCAGCUGAGGGUGAAACAAACAAUUUUUUUUUCUCAAAAUCAAAAACAAAUUAUUUUUUUCUCCAAAAACUGGAUACAAAC
rnacentral:lncRNA from 1 species